ACCCUCUUGGAUAGGUCGAAGUUGUCAGCUGACAUGUUGCCAACAUGGCUGCCCUGCUGGAAAAGUCGGUAUCAGGCACCAAGAGAAAGAAAGGGGCUACGACAGUUCUGUGGGCUUUGGGAACCGUCUGGGUGUCGUGUCUGAUGGCACGGGGCGUCAAGGGAGGUGAUUCAUCGUUGAAGUGCGAAGAUCUUCGCGUCGGCCAAUAUCUUUGUGACAGUCCUAAAAUAGACAACGACACUCAAGAACCCGUGAACUGUACAAAUCAUACUGCAUAUGUUGCUUGUUAUCCAGCACCAAAUGUUACAUGCAAGGAUUUCAGUGGAAAUGACACCCAGUUUACUGGAAAAGAAAUUGGAUUUUACAGACCCAUAGAAUGCCGAAAUGUAAAUGGUUACUCCUACAAGGUAGCUGUAGCUCUGUCUUUAUUUCUUGGUUGGUUGGGAGCCGACAGGUUUUAUCUAGGCUAUCCUGCCUUAGGUUUGUUAAAGUUCUGUACAGUGGGGUUUUGUGGAAUUGGUAGCUUGAUUGAUUUCAUUCUAAUUUCAAUGCAGAUUGUAGGACCCUCAGAUGGCUCUAGUUACAUCAUAGAUUAUUAUGGAGCAAGACUUACCAGACUGAGUAUUACUAACGAGACUUUCAGAAAACCACAGAUAUAUCCUUAAUUUGCCACUCAAGAUAAACGUCCACAGCCCACAGAGCAAGGAAUCAAACCCGGUUCUCCAGAUUGGAGUGCACCUGCUCUUAACCACUACACCACUUGCUGCCCUCCCGGUUUGUGAUAGAGUUAAACAUCAUGUCCCUGAAUUGGCUGCAGGGAUGAUUCCUGAAUAAUAAAUGUUGGAAUGGGGCUGCCUUGAAUGAAUAUAAUUUCAUGGAAACGUCAGUGUCACCUUUUUUCCUCAUGCAAGCCAAAAGCAGCAGACUACUUCAUUAUAUAUGCUAUUAUUUACAUGAAAGUUAGUUUUCCAGCUGUAAUUUUGACAAUCACUUCAUGUUCCUGUCAGGAAGACAACGCUGACUUUUUGUUUAUUUUGUUAAAUAAGAAUGAACUAUGGCCAUUAUUUAUGCUAAAUGUACCAUUCAGCACUGUACACUGGACUUCAUACUCGCCUAAAGAUUAAAAGCAUUCAAGAAUGAACAUGACGGAGGCAAAAAGCAAUGACUUGACAUUUAGCAUUUCUGUUCCAUAUUGCUUUUUAAAAGCAAGAAGAGACUAUAAACAAAGAAAGGCUGUUUUACAGUUGUACCAAGUUCCAGCUCAUUCACUCUCUCCUGCCCUUGCAUCCAGUACAUCCUGUACUUUUGGCAGCAAGUUGACUGGAUAUUUAAAAGCUCCAAACUGCUCUGAAAGUUUCACAUAGUGGGUUAUGGGCCAUGUGUGUUUGAUCAAAAUUCAAUUACUAUACUGUACCAGGCCUAGAAACCUAUCAUUGCAAGUUAUGAAGUAUGACGAAAUAAGCUACUCUAAUUGGUUCAGUAUGGGGAGCAGUCUCAACCAACCUUGUUAUGAUAAAUAGCUUCCUGUGCUAAAGAUUCUCUGGAGCUUAAGUAUCUUGGCUUACCUCCUUCAACAGAAUAAGAAUAUUGUUCCCUAGAAACACUUACGUCACUGUCCCUCUUCCUCAUUCAUACUUAAACAUUUGUAGCAUUUUCAUCUUUCUGUUUUUGACAGAAAUAAACUAUGGCCAUUGCUGUUAUUUCCCUUCUCUCCCUUUUGUCACUUCUUCCAGUCAUAAAGCAUCCUGACUCCAGUCAUAAAGCAUCCUGACAUCCUUAUAUAUAUAAAAGAUUAUAUAUAUAUAUAUAUAUAUAUAAAAGAUAAAAGAUUGUUUUAAUAUUUCAACACAGCUACUGUUGCUGGCAAUUGCACUUUGCUUAGCCAUGUUGCCACCUGGAAAUUCUUUACUGUUUUGAAAGUUGAGAAGAGCUCAAAGAAGAGAAUAUUCUGUGGCUUUAAGCCUGGAGUUGCAUUUGCUGAAUCUGCCACUGAAAGCACGAAUGUCAUGGGAGAGAAUACUGACUUAAUAGUUUUAGCUGUAACAUCUAUGCAGGGUUAUCUUUAUGCCACAAUGACAGCCAAUGGCAAAAGGAUGGAGAACAAUUAAUUAUGGUCCAUGACUGUGUACACAGGAUGGCCAUCAAGGCUUUUUGGAAACAUCACAUUCACAUGAUCCAGUUUAGGGAGAGGAUGUGAAAAUUAGUGUUAGCUGUUUAAGGUGAUCUUAGAAAAAUAGGAUCCUGAAAAAAUGCCUUUAGUACUGGUAAACUGAAUUAUGUAAAUAGAUCAGUGUUUUUCUCCAUCUUAUAUUAACAAAUAUUACCAGUGCUUUUGCCCAGUUAUCAUUUGUUUUCUUUGAAAUAGCUUGCCUUUCUAUUUUAAUGUCUUGUUUGACGUUCUUCUAAGAGGUUGUACUUGAUCUCCUGCAAAAAGGUCUCCAUCUUAAACAGCCAUAUCCUUAGCUGUCACUUAAUCAGGCAAUAAUUAAGAGCAACUAUAAAAAAUUAGUAGGAGGAAAACUUUAUUUUCAUCGUAAUAUUUACAUUUGUUUUAUAAACCCUGUUGCUAUUUUUUGUAAGUAGACGUCACAAAAUGCUAUGGGAUGGGUAACAUAUAUGUAAAAUGUCCUUAGCCCUGAUGUCAUGCUGUAUGAUUUUAUUUUAUUAUUUUUCUUACAAUAGCUGGUAGAUGAUAGUAAUCAUUUUAUAGCUCUUAAUAAAGUUCCACAAGAAGUAACUUUACCUUUAAAAAUAGAAUGUGACUGCAGGCACUUAUGCUAAUCUCCCCUUUGGCAAAUCAGCUUUUUUUUGUAUUGAAUCCUGCUUGAUUGAAUAGCACUAGAACUGCCAGAGUAAAUGCUAUUAUCAAUGUACAGUAAUUAAGGAAAUAGUCCUUGUCACUCGAACGGCAUCCAGGCUGUGCCUGGUGUAAUAAAGUUAAAUGAUAAAGAAA